GGAGCCAAAACAGUAGGCUGUAAAGAGUCUAGAAGGUCAAUGUGAAUCCAAAGGAAAUAUGUAAAGGUGUCUAGAAGGUCAAUGUGAAUCCAAAAGAAAUAUGUAAAGGUGUAAAACACGACUAAAAUCGAAAGGUUUUUGCGCAUUUUACACUGAAUAGAUUACAAUGAGUGUUGGUAGCACAUCAUAAUCUGAGUUACAUCAGAUGAAAGAUAUUAUGAUCUGAGUUACAUCCGAUGAAAGUAAAGAACACAGGGGAUACUACCUGAAAAGUCUUGUAUGAACUAAAGCAAUCAAAUGUUAUUAUGGGUUAAAGAAAAUGAGAGGACAAUUGUAUCCAAGCAAAGUUAUAGAAUGGGAAAUUCAUUUCAUAAUCCUGUGCAUGAGGAUGACAUCCUACUUGCUAGUGGUCAUGUCAAUCUACUGCAGGAGAAGAAAAGGAAUUCUUGUUCUCAAAGUUCAAAAGAAUGUUCUCGGUAGAGUGUCUCUCGUCGAGAUUCACCAAGAAAAGAAUAAAAGGGGUAUUAGUAAUGUCGCAUGGACAUGCUUAGAAAGGUAUCUAAAGUAUGCAUGCGAGAAAGUCUACGCAUAUUCUUAUAGUCAAUGGUAAUGGAACCGAAAACUAUGGUGUUCCAAAAGUUGAAGAGAAAAGAUUGAAAACGGAUAUGGUGCCAUAUGCUUCAGCUGCUGAAGCUCAAUAUAUUACCAUGACAUAGUUCAUGUAUUUGGGUUGUUUUGGCAAUGUCCAGUCCAUAUAUAGAUCACUGGAAUGGACUCGAAGAUAUCGGCCUCAUGCUGGAAGAAACAAGUGCUCUUAAAAGACUGUGAGUACAAAGACAUGAGUUGUGAAAUGUAUAGCGAAAUCCACAAUUGUCGCUAAUUUUCACACUUGGAGUUUUGGUGUGGAAAAGCUCCAGAGAAUGAAAGAAUUAUCAUCAAUGUGAUGCAAAGAUAUUUUAUAGCUUGAUACGAGGGCUGAGGGACAGGCAAAAUGGUUAAGGACCUGUACCCGGAGUUGAUAAUGGUUGACAACAGCGAUAACCAUUUUUAAGUUUUCGCUCCUAUGACAACGAGUCAAGUGUUGAUGCCAAACACACUGACACCGAGUUAUGCAUUGUAAAGGAGAAAGUCUGAAAUCAUGUAGAAAUGCUUGAAGCAUAAAAGCAACAGACAAGUGUUUGCAGAUCUGCUUAUUAAAGGCUUACCACCCAGUGUGUUUGGAGAACACACAGUCGACAUGAAUUUUAUGGUAUAGUUUAAGAUUUCCGGACAAUAAAGGGCCCAAGGUUAAAGAAUUUGUUUCAAAACAGAAAGGUACGUUGUGGCUGUCUGAUUCUAUCGGCAAUUGAGCUGUGACGAUGAAACAUGUUCUAUGUACCAAUAUGUGAUGAAACAAAUAAACUAGAAAGUAUAAGGAUAAAAGUAAAGUUGAGAUCAAGGGGGAGAAUGUUAGGUUGAUCUCUUCCCGAUUGAGCCCAACGGCUCGACGGGCCCUUGACCCGCGCCCUGAUCGGGGGCGCCGAACCUAACCAAAGGCUGGUGGGCCCCUGUUGCCGCGCUAUAUAAAGGGGUGGGGGAGCCAGCCGCACGCGACACGAGGUUCACCGUGCGCCGCAACCCCNNNNNNNNNNAAAAAAAAACAAGAUUGUAGGAGAUUCCACAUAUAUAAUAAGCAACCUUUACAUAUACUGUAGAUGAGAAAAAGCUAAAACAACCUUGCUCUCCUCAGAAGUUGUGUAGAGCGUGGUCGUUUUUUCCUGAGUGCAAGAAAGCAAAGAAAAUAAUAAUUCUGAAUUUGCCCAAAUAUCCACAGAAAGCAAGGGGCUGGGACCUGGGAGAAUGAUUUACAAAAGGAGAUGUAUGCCAGAUCAAGCAUUUAUGAAUCAGUGGAUACUAAACUGUAAGCAUGAACCAUAGAAAAGAAAGCAGUUAGACUAUGCAACCAUUAAUUGGUAAUUAAAGACAGGUAUGUUCAUAACCAGCUCUGUUGCUAAGAACAGAUCUUAUGAGCUCAAGAGACCAAACUGUUACAGUCGAAUUCCUAGAGCAUUUAUUGCAAAAGAAAAAUAUAAACAAUACUGCUAAAAACAUAACUCAUUGUGCCAAUAUCUCCUACAAAGAUCAAAUGGGAAAUAGGUAUGGGAAAAUUUAAGCAGUUCUGGAAUAAGAAGAAAUUUCUCAUGAUAAAUGAUUUACCAUGCUAUAUUAGAUAUGUUGGUCAUGAAUUCCUUGCACACACUGCCAGGAGCUGGGACCUCCAAAUCCACGUCCUCCCCACGAACCUGCACACAUGUUUAGACUAAUAAUCAGUUAGGUAUACAAUUUUAUGUACUAACUAUAUGCACCGACCUUUAGAUCUGAACCUUUUUUUUACAUCCCUUCAGAUCUGAACUUUUUAGCAAUGACAGUUCAUUUCCUUGUAAAAGGAAACCCUGCUGCAACGACAUAUCACAACGAAGUGUUAGGUUGAUCUCUUCCCGAUCGAGCCCAACGGCUCGACGGGCCCUUGACCCGCGCCCUGAUCGGGGGCGCCGAACCUAACCAAAGGCUGGUGGGCCCCUGUUGCCGCGCUAUAUAAAGGGGUGGGGGAGCCAGCCGCACGCGACACGAGAUUCACCGUGCGCCGUAACCCCCACCAAUAUCCCUACCGAUCUAGGGUUAGCGUGAUACGAUGGGAAGCUCAACCACCGUCGCCACCCACGCACACUCGCG
rnacentral:lncRNA from 1 species